rnacentral:rRNA from 1 species
AAAUUGAAGAGUUUGAUCAUGGCUCAGAUUGAACGCUGGCGGCAGGCCUAACACAUGCAAGUCGAACGGUAACAGGAAGCAGCUUGCUGCUUCGCUGACGAGUGGCGGACGGGUGAGUAAUGUCUGGGAAACUGCCUGAUGGAGGGGGAUAACUACUGGAAACGGUGGCUAAUACCGCAUAACGUCGCAAGACCAAAGAGGGGGCCCUUCGGGCCUCUUGCCAUCAGAUGUGCCCAGAUGGGAUUAGCUAGUUGGUGAGGUAACGGCUCACCAAGGCGACGAUCCCUAGCUGGUCUGAGAGGAUGACCAGCCACACUGGAACUGAGACACGGUCCAGACUCCUACGGGAGGCAGCAGUGGGGAAUAUUGCACAAUGGGCGCAAGCCUGAUGCAGCCAUGCCGCGUGUAUGAAGAAGGCCUUCGGGUUGUAAAAGUACUUUCAGCGGGGAGGAAGGUGUUGUGGUUAAUAACCGCAGCAAUUGACGUUACCCGCAGAAGAAGCACCGGCUAACUCCGUGCCAGCAGCCGCGGUAAUACGGAGGGUGCAAGCGUUAAUCGGAAUUACUGGGCGUAAAGCGCACGCAGGCGGUCUGUCAAGUCGGAUGUGAAAUCCCCGGGCUCAACCUGGGAACUGCAUUCGAAACUGGCAGGCUUGAGUCUUGUAGAGGGGGGUAGAAUUCCAGGUGUAGCGGUGAAAUGCGUAGAGAUCUGGAGGAAUACCGGUGGCGAAGGCGGCCCCCUGGACAAAGACUGACGCUCAGGUGCGAAAGCGUGGGGAGCAAACAGGAUUAGAUACCCUGGUAGUCCACGCCGUAAACGAUGUCUACUUGGAGGUUGUGCCCUUGAGGCGUGGCUUCCGGAGCUAACGCGUUAAGUAGACCGCCUGGGGAGUACGGCCGCAAGGUUAAAACUCAAAUGAAUUGACGGGGGCCCGCACAAGCGGUGGAGCAUGUGGUUUAAUUCGAUGCAACGCGAAGAACCUUACCUGGUCUUGACAUCCACAGAACUUUCCAGAGAUGGAUUGGUGCCUUCGGGAACUGUGAGACAGGUGCUGCAUGGCUGUCGUCAGCUCGUGUUGUGAAAUGUUGGGUUAAGUCCCGCAACGAGCGCAACCCUUAUCCUUUGUUGCCAGCGAUUAGGUCGGGAACUCAAAGGAGACUGCCAGUGAUAAACUGGAGGAAGGUGGGGAUGACGUCAAGUCAUCAUGGCCAUACGACCGUGGCUACACACGUGCUACAAUGGCGCAUACAAAGAGAAGCGACCUCGCGAGAGCAAGCGGACCUCAUAAAGUGCGUCGUAGUCCGGAUUGAGUCUGCAACUCGACUCCAUGAAGUCGGAAUCGCUAGUAAUCGUGGAUCAGAAUGCCACGGUGAAUACGUUCCCGGGCCUUGUACACACCGCCCGUCACACCAUGGGAGUGGGUUGCAAAAGAAGUAGGUAGCUUAACCUUCGGGAGGGCGCUUACCACUUUGUGAUUCAUGACUGGGGUGAAGUCGUAACAAGGUAACCGUAGGGGAACCUGCGGUUGGAUCACCUCCUUACCUUAAAGAA